CGACAGAGUGUCCCCACAAAGGGAUCUUCUGUUGCUCCUUGUCUGUACGUGUUCCCAGCCAGCCACUGGAAGCCUCGGUCCUGUAUCAACUUGCUGGGAAGCAAUGCCAUGGAGCCCCGUGCAGACACUGGACACAAUCUCAAAAUCCCCGCCAGGACAAUCUCAAACAGAUUUCUCCUCUCCAAAUCAAACGUUGCAUUGGACAUAUGGAUCAUUGAUUUCUACUUCCAGAACAGCACACGAAGUCUGAUGUGCCUGGGCAGAGGAAUCGGCAUGGAGGCCGUCCACAGCAGCCCCCAGACCCACACGUCAUCACACCUCAUGGGGCUUCGUCGUCAUGUGUCCUAAAAGAGUGACUGAUGGGUCAACACCAGGUCCGUGAAGUAACUCCGCAAGCGACUCCGCC